GCACCAAUCUCCACAACGUCCAAAACCGAACUCCCGUAUAUCAACAAACAACUCCAAACCCACAAAUCAAUUCAAGCAAACUUUAAUCCACAACCAAACAAAGCAAAAAACCAAACAAAGAGAGCCAGAAAACCAGACUUUACCGCACGCAAAUGGAGCAGGGAAAAUGAAGACAAUGGUGGAGGAUGGAAGGAUGGUGGUCGGACGACAGAAAUGCUGACCGAAGGAGCUGCGACAAUUGUGAAAGGUCACCUGACAAAGAAUAGAGGAUUCCAUUUAUGCCUUGAAACUUUGCCUGGAUUGGAGGAUGUGGCCUGUAGUGCUUUUGUGUGUCAAAACUAAAAGGUCAUAUUCACGUGUAGAACCGAAAGUUAUCCGCAGACAAUCAGACUUUGUGAUAAACACUCACAUUACACAAUGUUCAUUUGUCCAUGGUGGAAGAGGAAAGUUCAGAGUCUGAUUCUUUUUUGAAGAGAGAUGACAUAGUAGAUAAACAACUUAUCGGUUUUCCAUGACAAUCAAUGAGGAAUAUAUGUUACCUUAUCACUAUAUGGAUAAGAGUAAGUGCUUCGCGUAGGUGUAUAAGAGCAUCUUAUGUCAUAGACUUUCAAGUUAU